rnacentral:tRNA from 1 species
GCGCUUGUGGCGGAACUGGCAGACGCGCUAGACUAAGGAUUUAGUGAGUAACAUCGUAUGGGUUCGAGUCCCUUCAAGCGCACCA